UACGAAGGGUGCAAGCGUUAAUCGGAAUUACUGGGCGUAAAGCGUGCGUAGGCGGUUUGUUAAGUCUGUUGUGAAAUCCCCGGGCUCAACCUGGGAAUGGCAAUGGAUACUGGCAGGCUAGAGUGUGUCAGAGGAUGGUGGAAUUCCCGGUGUAGCGGUGAAAUGCGUAGAGAUCGGGAGGAACAUCAAUGGCGAAGGCGGCCAUCUGGACCAGCACUGACACUGAGGCACGAAAGCGUGGGGAGCAAACAGG
rnacentral:rRNA from 1 species